GCCUUUGUAGUGUAACGGUUAGCACACUCGGCGCCUAUUCGAAAAAUCCAGGUUCGAGUCCCGGCGAGGGGA
rnacentral:tRNA from 1 species